UGGGGAAUAUUGCACAAUGGGCGCAAGCCUGAUGCAGCAACGCCGCUUGAACGAUGAAGGUCUUCGGAUCGUAAAGUUCUUUUGCAGGGGAAGAUAAUGACGGUACCCUGUGAGGAAGCCCCGGCUAACUACGUGCCAGCAGCCGCGGUAAUACGUAGGGGGCUAGCGUUAUCCGGAUUUACUGGGCGUAAAGGGUGCGUAGGUGGUCUUUCAAGUCGGUGGUUAAAGGCUACGGCUCAACCGUAGUUAGCCUCCGAAACUGGAAGACUUGAGUGCAGGAGGGGAAAGUGGAAUUCCCAGUGGAGCGGUGAAAUGCGGAGAUAUUGGGAGGAACACCAGUAGGGAAGGGGGAUUUCUGGACUGCAACUGAAACUGAGGCACGAAAGGGUGGGUAGCAAACAGG
rnacentral:rRNA from 1 species